rnacentral:misc_RNA from 1 species
UUAAGUUCAGCGGGUAGUCCUACCUGAUUUGAGGUCAAGUGGUCAGGUGAAUUGUCCACCGGGGUGGACCGCUGGAAGCUGGGUAAGCAUGCAUCCCGCCAAGUGUAGACGAGUUAUUAUCACACAAGGCUGCAGAUUGCACGAGAUGGGCCCCUGCUAAUGCUUUUCAGAGGAGCUGGCCAACAAAGGGGCCAGCAGAG